AGUGAACGCUGGCGGCAGGCCUAACACAUGCAAGUCGAACGGCAGCACGGCAGUAGCAAUACUGUGGGUGGCGAGUGGCGGACGGGUGAGGAAUACAUCGGGAUCUACCCUGUUGUGGGGGAUAACGUAGGGAAACUUACGCUAAUACCGCAUAAGAACUGAGGUUGAAAGCGGCGGACCGCAAGGCGUCGCGCGAUUGGAUGAACCGAUGUCCGAUUAGCUAGUUGCGGGUAAAGGCCACCAAGGCGACGAUCGGUAGCUGGUCUGAGAGGACGACCAGCCACACUGGAACUGAGACACGGUCCAGACUCCUACGGGAGGCAGCAGUGGGGAAUAUUGGACAAUGGGCGCAAGCCUGAUCCAGCCAUGCCGCGUGGGUGAAGAAGGCCUCGGUUGUAAG
rnacentral:rRNA from 1 species